CCAGGACGAUCUUGCGAUCCUAAAGAAAAAGGAUAAUUUGGUUCAAUUUUGAGGGCUGGUUGAUCGACGCUAGCCAUGGGUUCGUUUCGGUUUAAGCACGGGUUGAUGAAGGUGGAUCUAGGUAUUCUUUCGAGUCGUUUCAUGUGUUUAGAUGCAACGUCGAUUUGAAAAUAAAGGCUCUGCGUGAAGAACCCAGUGAAAAAGAUGGACCUUUGGUUUUUUUUUUUUUGAGAAGAUGUGAAGUUUUGAUUUUGUUGCUGUUGUUUGUGGACAGGCUAUUUGCUUUGAUACCAUGAGAAAAU
rnacentral:lncRNA from 1 species